AGUUGACACUCCCAGAAACUGUCAACAGAGGGCCACAGGCCUCCACUGCGCGACCUUCUUUCCUGAGUCUGCAUCAAGUCAGAGUGGCUCUUCCUUUUUUGGCCAAAUUCCGACCAUCCAGACAUCUAACAUCUUGUCCAAGCAAAACAGAGUUGACACUACCAAAACUCACCAUAGAAAGCCCUGUAGAAAAAUCACAGACCUCCUAUGUGCAUCCUACCUGUCCUUCUGUCCCAGGACCGGAUCCAUCCACAGUGGCUCGUCCUCUGUAUAAAUUCCCGCCAUCCAGACCGCGCACCUUAAACCCAAGCAAUUUGAAGAGGUCUCUCAGAUCUGAUGUAUCUACUUCUUAAAACACUUGCAUGUCUCACUAUUAGUGUUACAUUUGAUUUCACCUGAGUCUCAAAGGUUGUGGAUCUCUGAAAACGAUGGUGAUCAAAAUAAAUAAAUAAAAAUCUUUACAGCAUUUAAUACCUGUUUAUUA